UCAUCGAAUCUUUGAACGCACCUUGCGCCCCUUGGUAUUCCGAGGGGCACGCCUGUUUGAGUGUCGUG
rnacentral:rRNA from 1 species